AACGGAUAAAAGGUACUCCGGGGAUAACAGGCUGAUACCGCCCAAGAGUUCAUAUCGACGGCGGUGUUUGGCACCUCGAUGUCGGCUCAUCACAUCCUGGGGCUGAAGUAGGUCCCAAGGGUAUGGCUGUUCGCCAUUUAAAGUGGUACGCGAGCUGGGUUUAGAACGUCGUGAGACAGUUCGGUCCCUAUCUGCCGUGGGCGCUGGAGAACUGAGGGGGGCUGCUCCUAGUACGAGAGGACCGGAGUGGACGCAUCACUGGUGUUCGGGUUGUCAUGCCAAUGGCACUGCCCGGUAGCUAAAUGCGGAAGAGAUAAGUGCUGAAAGCAUCUAAGCACGAAACUUGCCCCGAGAUGAGUUCUCCCUGAGACUUUAGGUCUCCUGAAGGAACGUUGAAGACGACGACGUUGAUAGGCCGGGUGUGUAAGCGCAGCGAUGCGUUGAGCUAACCGGUACUAAUGAACCGUGAGGCUUAACCUUACA
rnacentral:rRNA from 1 species